ensembl:lncRNA GNAO1-DT GNAO1 divergent transcript
AAUUUAGGAUAGCUAGAGAAUCCCACAGGGAUGCCUUUGGCUUGAAUAGAGUGAAAAGUUGGAGGGGGCCAAGACUAGUGCUUUCACAUUGACAAUAAAAUGGACCAAGAGCUGAAAUUGAAGUCAGAAGCUUGGCUUAAUAUGAAAGCGUUACCUAAAGUCAUGGAUUCCAAUUGGAAUUUUCUUGGAAAACUUUUCAUUAGAAACUAAGAUUCUUAUUUGUUUUGAUGGGAGUAAUAGUCCUUUUCAACCUACCUGGGCUGGAGUUGACAGAAAAGAUUAGCAGGAACAUAUUUGUAAAAUAUUUAUUUAAUACUUAUUAUAUCCUCCAGAAGACAGGAGCUUUCCUGACACAAAGCAUCUGCUCCCUCAAAGGUGAAAACCAGAAAUUGGCAGUAGAUGAUAUGCAACUAUUAAAUAUAAUGUGAAGCUUUAGUCUCAAUAGGUUUGGACAAAUAAUAAAUGAAAGUAAUUUUCAAAACUGAAGGGAAGUAAUACCAAGAAAGUCAGCAGAGUGAAAAGAACACUGGAUAGAAUGAAGAGACAAGACUCUUAGUCUCUGGCCAACUUUGGGAGACUUAAUUCACUUUCCAGGCCUCAGUUUCCUCAAUCAAGAAAUUGGAUUUUAGGCAUCUUUUAUCCGUAAUUCUAAAUCCGAGUUGCGAGGACAGAGAACCUGGAGGACUGACACUGGGAAGAUUACAGAAGGCAGAGCUCCAGAGGGCAAAGCAAGAAAAUGUUACAAAUCUAUUUAUUCAGUCCUUGAAUCUGAGUAUAUCUGUUCCACUAUCAAAA